rnacentral:rRNA from 1 species
UACGUAGGUGACCAGCGUUGUCCGGAUUUACUGGGCGUAAAGAGCGCGCAGGCGGUCGUUCAAGUCGAGUGUGAAAGCCCCCGGCUCAACUGGGGAGGGUCACUCGAUACUGAUCGACUCGAAGGCAGGAGAGGGAAGCGGAAUUCCCGGUGUAGUGGUGAAAUGCGUAGAUAUCGGGAGGAACACCAGUGGCGAAGGCGCUUCCUGGCCUGUUCUUGACGCUGAGGCGCGAAAGCUAGGGGAGCAAACGGG